rnacentral:lncRNA from 1 species
AAAUGUCCAGCAAACGACGGCAAUGUUGCCAGAUUCCUUUUAGCGGGAAUUUUAAAAUUUUAUACCAGUUUGGUUUUAAAUUUGACAGUUCUGUUUUCUCAAGUCAAAAAUCUUAACCUUACUUUUACAAGUGAUUAGGAUUAUUAUUAUUUUAUUUACAUGUAAAUUGAAACAAUAAAUAUUGUGCUGUGUCAUAAUUUCAAACUCAUUAUGUUGCAGUCUUUUCCAGUUGAUAAAAUUGCAAUUCAAAAACUUUGAGAUUUGUACUGUAUGGAUGGCACAGGAAGAGAACAAGAACAUGAAACAUCUUAUUAUGAAUGUAUAUGUAUGUGAUCCUCAAAAAAUGAUUUUACAAAACAAGAUAGAGAAAGAGCUUUAAAAUCCCAAGGAUCCUGCAAAAUGUUUAUUUGGUGUACUAGUCGAAUAAUAGUAUCUAAAAAUAUUGAAACUAUUUACGGGCAUGAGGAUGAUAUAGAGCACUUACAUAAAUACCAAAAUCAGAUAAAUAUCUCUUCAAAGUUUAUUUUGAGACUUUCUUCAAAAAUUAAACUUCAGACUGUUCAGGAUAGCAUAAUAGCAUAGGAGGCGAAUUAAAAAGAAUUAAUUUACUUACAAGAAAAGAUAUCACAAACAUUAAACUUUCUUAUGGCAUUGAUUUGAAAGAUGGGUAUAUGUACAAUGAUGAUGCAACCAGUGUUUAUUUUUGGGUUGAAUGCUUACAGACUCAUGUCCAAUAUUAUUUUACAAACAACAGGGCAUACUAAUGGAUAUUCAUUCUGAAUUUAACAUUUAUGAUUUUUGUCUUAUUUUCCUUAAUACUGUGCCAAAAGGAAAUGUUAAUUAAGUUUGGUAAAUCCUUUAUCACAAUCGAUGGAACUCAUGGGCUCAAUUCCUAUGACUUUGAACUUAUGACAGUAUUAGUAAAAGAUGAAUUUGGGAAUGGAUUUUGUACUGCUUUCUUAUUUUCAAAUAGAAAAGAUACCUACUUUAAUUUACCAAUUUUUUUAAAUAAAUGUCUGUGUUGGUAUUAUAUGUAUAGUCAAAUGUUUUCAUAUCAGGCAUAAGCGACACCUUUUACAAUGCCUCGUCAAAUGUAAUGGGUAUUGCUCCUAAUAGACUGUUAAGUGCCUAGCACAUAGAUAGGUCAUGGUAAGUAAAUCUUAAUAAAAUAUCUGAUUCUGAAAAAAAUCCUAUUAUGUAUACAAGAUGUAUUAAUGAUGGUUUAGAAAGUAUUAAUAGCUUUUUGGGUAGACUUCUAAGUGAUGCAGAUACAUACAAUUUUAGUAAGUAUUUCCAGUAGAACUACUGCAAUAACAUCCAACAAUGGGCCUAUUGUUAUAGGAAGGGGUUGUGGAAUUAAUACCAAUAUGACCAUUCAAAAUUUUCAUAAAAUUUUGGAUAAAAGGGUAUCCAUUAGUUGUUAUCAGUUAAUUUUAAAACUUGGCACUCAUGGAGAGCUAUACCAUAAUAUAUAAUAGGUAUAUCUGAUAAUAUUAAAUCUCAUAUUGCUCACUCAUUACAAUAGUGAGCAAUAUGAGAUAUAACAUAUUAUAGUAUAAGUCUCUGUGCAUGACCAGAUUAACAUGUUUGGUGCCCAUCUCGAACAAGCUCCACUUGGCUGGUACCACAUACUUAAAUCAUUUAUUUAUACAUACAGUACUACUCACAUAACUUAUGUGUUAUCAGUACCUUCCGUAAAACCUUCGUGAUGCUACCCAUACGUCAUGGCCACUGAAUGUGUUAAAGCUUGUUAAUGUAGGAGAGUUAUACUAAAAUAUAUAUCUUAUAUUAUAUUGCCUUAAAUAGAAAAAAUAUCUUAUUUAAAUUGUAUCAAUUAAGUUUUGAUUUAAUGAAAUAAACCUUUUAAUU